rnacentral:rRNA from 1 species
UUAAAUUGAAGAGUUUGAUCAUGGCUCAGAUUGAACGCUGGCGGCAGGCCUAACACAUGCAAGUCGAACGGUAACAGGAAUCAGCUUGCUGAUUCGCUGACGAGUGGCGGACGGGUGAGUAAUGUCUGGGA